AACAGACUUUCUGUGAAAUAAGACAAAUAAAAGACAAGUGUUAAAGAGUUUUGUGUCAAAGUAGCGUUCCUUCCUCUGACCCCUAACCUGCUGCAUGUGACUUUCAGCAGCCAAUCAGAGCCACUCUUGUGUCUUCUUCUCCAUCCUCAGGCAGCCCACCAGGCCGUUGAUGACCUGGAUGACGCAGAGCACCACCUGCAGGCAGCUGGCCGCCAUCAGGGUGAUGAACAGACCCAUGUUGAACUGCACCACGUUCUUGGGUUCCAGGCACUCGGUCCACCAGCUGCUCUUGGUCAUGUAGUUCGGGUCCCUGUGACAGAACGUCUGAUGAGAACUGAGUUGUGUCUGUGAGUCGUCGUGGCUCACAGACACGUCUCUUACCUGUCUGCGAACGGUCUCGUCCAUUUGUCUCCAUCGUUGCAGAGCGGCCCGUUAUGCAGACCAAUCAGUGCCACAAUGAAACAGUAGGCGGCGCCGACUGCACCCACCCCGGCGAAUAUAAUGGAUACUAACAUCUGUAGAUAUUCAACAGGAAGUGAAAAUCAGACAGGAGAGCUGGAGCCAAUCACAGCAGCCUGGAGGCGGAGCUAUACCUCUACAGACAGUUGCAGACAAGCAUUCACGCUCACAUUCACACCUAAGGUGAAUUCACAUUCAUAGUGAACUAUAAACCAAAUACUGCUAGUGUUUUGGGCUGUGAUAAAACUGCAGUAUUUGUAAA